CUCCUCCCAAACAAGGACAAAGUCUGCUAGGAACCAACAGGGACAGAGGCGGAAGCCUGGCUAAGUGGCAGUGGCCGGCCCGGGGAAGGGCUGCCAGCAUCCUAGCCGGGACGCAAUGGGGAGCCAGGCACUUGGACACUCGGGGCCAGUUCCUUCCGGGUCCCCUCUCUGAUCCCAGCCAGGGCUAGGAGGACUCAGGGAGCACUUCCAGGUUCCAGGAAAGCCCUACAUUGGCCUGAGUGGGGAACGGAGGCCUGGAGAGGAGUUGGGUGUGGCCCUCUGAGACCCCUGCCGGGUGAGUCCCAAACUCCUAAAGGGGUCUUUAAGGACUUCAGGUGCAAGGCACUGUCAGACUUCCCUUCCUGCCACAGAGAAUCAUCAACGCUGGAGAAAGUUUCUGAAGCCCCUGAUUUUCUGGCAUGAGACAGCAAUGGAUGCUGGGCUCAGGCCCUCCAGAGAAGAGGAGCGUGUGAGGCAGCUGCUGGAGGCCAAUGGCUGACAAAGAUUCCAGAGGAUACACAGGGCUGGGGAAUCUGAGCUCCAGCUGGAACACCCUGGUCAUCCAGCAGAGACUCGCAGGCCAUACCCAAGGAGUGAGGACGAUGGAGUCCCCCCUUACCUGCAGGGGAUACAUUCCAAGACCCCAGUGGAUGCCUGAAACUGUGCAGAGUACCAAACCUAUAUGUACUGUCUUUCCCUAUCCCUACCUAUAAUAUGUACCUACCUAUGAUAUACCUAUGAUGAACUUCCUACGGUGAAAGUUAAUUUAUGAAUUAGGUAAAGUAAGAGAUGAAAAUAACUAAUAAUAAAAUAGAAUUAUAACAGAAUACUGUAGUA